rnacentral:rRNA from 1 species
AUCAACUUUCGAUGGUAGGAUAGAGGCCUACUAUGGUGGUGACGGGUGACGGAGAAUUAGGGUUCGAUUCCGGAGAGGGAGCCUGAGAAACGGCUACCACAUCCAAGGAUGGCAGCAGGCGCGCAAAUUACCCAAUCCCGACACGGGGAGGUAGUGACAAUAAAUAACAAUACGGGGUUCUUUAGGAUUUCGUAAUUGGAAUGAGUACAAUUUAAAUCUCUUAACGAGGAACAAUUGGAGGGCAAGUCUGGUGCCAGCAGCCGCGGUAAUUCCAGCUCCAAUAGCGUAUAUUAAAGUUGUUGCAGUUAAAAAGCUCGUAGUUGAAUUUCGGGGUCAGUAGGUUGGUCAUGCCACUGGUAUGUACUGGUCUCACUGGUUCCUCCUUCCUGAUGAGCCGUAAUGCCAUUAAUUUGGUGUUGCGAGGAAUCUGGACUGUUACUUUGAAAAAAUUAGAGUGUUUAAAGCAGGCUAACGCUUGAAUACAUUAGCAUGGAAUAAUGAAAUAGGACGUUCGAUCUUAUUUUGUUGGUUUCUAAGAUUGACGUAAUGAUUAAUAGGGAUAGUUGGGGGCAUUAGUAUUCAAUUGUCAGAGGUGAAAUUCUUGGAUUUAUUGAAGACUAACUACUGCGAAGGCAUUUGCCAAGGAUGUUUUCAUUAAUCAAGAACGAAAGUUAGGGGAUCGAAGACGAUCAGAUACCGUCGUAGUCUUAACCAUAAACUAUGCCGACUAGGGAUCGGAUGAUGUUAAUUUUUUAAUGACUCAUUCGGCGCCUUACGGGAAACCAAAGUGUUUGGGUUC